rnacentral:rRNA from 1 species
AUUGAACGCUGGCGGAAUGCUUUACACAUGCAAGUCGAACGGCAGCACGGACUUCGGUCUGGUGGCGAGUGGCGAACGGGUGAGUAAUGUAUCGGAACGUGCCCAGUCGUGGGGGAUAACGUAGUGAAAAUUACGCUAAUACCGCAUACGAUCUAUGGAUGAAAGCGGGGGAUCGCAAGACCCUGCGCGAUCGGAGCGGCCGAUAUCAGAUUAGGUAGUUGGUGGGGUAAAGGCCCACCAAGCCAACGAUCUGUAGCUGGUCUGAGAGGACGACCAGCCACACUGGAACUGAGACACGGCCCAGACUCCUACGGGAGGCAGCAGUGGGGAAUUUUGGACAAUGGGCGAAAGCCUGAUCCAGCCAUUCCGCGUGCAGGAUGAAGGCCCUCGGGUUGUAAACUGCUUUUGUACAGAACGAAAAGGUUUCUACUAAUACUAGGAGCUCAUGACGGUACUGUAAGAAUAAGCACCGGCUAACUACGUGCCAGCCGCCGCCGUAA